rnacentral:rRNA from 1 species
GCCCUUAGAGUUUGAUCAUGGCUCAGAACGAACGCUGGCGGCAUGCCUAACACAUGCAAGUCGAACGAGACCUUCGGGUCUAGUGGCGCACGGGUGCGUAACGCGUGGGAAUCUGCCCUUGGGUUCGGAAUAACUCUCCGAAAGGAGUGCUAAUACCGGAUGAUGUCGCAAGACCAAAGAUUUAUCGCCCAAGGAUGAGCCCGCGUAGGAUUAGCUAGUUGGUGAGGUAAAGGCUCACCAAGGCGACGAUCCUUAGCUGGUCUGAGAGGAUGAUCAGCCACACUGGGACUGAGACACGGCCCAGACUCCUACGGGAGGCAGCAGUGGGGAAUAUUGGACAAUGGGCGAAAGCCUGAUCCAGCAAUGCCGCGUGAGUGAUGAAGGCCCUAGGGUUGUAAAGCUCUUUUACCCGGGAUGAUAAUGACAGUACCGGGAGAAUAAGCUCCGGCUAACUCCGUGCCAGCAGCCGCGGUAAUACGGAGGGAGCUAGCGUUGUUCGGAAUUACUGGGCGUAAAAGCGCACGUAGGCGGCUUUGUAA